GAGCGGAAAGGCCCUUCGGGGUCUCGAGCGGCGAACGGGUGAGUAACACGUGAGUAGUCUGCCCCUAGCUCUGGGAUAGCUCCGGGAAACCGGGAUUAAUACCAGAUACGACCACUACGGACAUCUGUUUUGGUGGAAAGAAUUUCGGCUAGGGAUGAGCUCGCGGCCUAUCAGCUUGUUGGUAAGGUAACGGCCUACCAAGGCGACGACGGGUAGCCGGCCUAAGAAGGCGACCGGCCACACUAGGACUGAGACACGGCCCAGACUCCUACGGGAGGCAGCAGUGGGGAAUAUUGCGCAAUGGGCGAAAGCCUGACGCAGCGACGCCGCGUGGGGGAUGAAGGCCUUCGGGUUGUAAACCCCUUUCAGCAGGGACGAAGCGAGAGUGACGGUACCUGCAGAAGAAGCGCCGGCUAACUACGUGCCAGCAGCCGCGGUAAU
rnacentral:rRNA from 1 species